rnacentral:rRNA from 1 species
UACAUAGGUCUCAAGCGUUGUUCGGAUUCAUUGGGCGUAAAGGGUGCGUAGGCGGCGCGGUAAGUCGGGUGUGAAAUCUUGGAGCUUGACUCCGAAACUGCAUUCGAUACUGCCGUGCUUGAGGACUGGAGAGGAGACUGGAAUUUACGGUGUAGCGGUGAAAUGCGUAGAUAUCGUAAGGAAGACCAGUGGCGAAGGCGGGUCUCUGGACAGUUCCUGACGCUGAGGCACGAAGGCCAGGGGAGCAAACGGG